rnacentral:rRNA from 1 species
UACGAAGGGGGCUAGCGUUGCUCGGAAUCACUGGGCGUAAAGCGCACGUAGGCGGCUUUCUAAGUCAGGGGUGAAAUCCUGGAGCUCAACUCCAGAACUGCCUUUGAUACUGGAGAGCUUGAGUCCGGAAGAGGUGAGUGGAACUCCGAGUGUAGAGGUGAAAUUCGUAGAUAUUCGGAAGAACACCAGUGGCGAAAGCGGCGCGCUGGACCACUACUGACGCUGAGGAACGAAAGCUAGGGGAGCAAACAGG